UAGGCGGAAAAUUUCUAGUAACUUCAGGUUACGCUUACGCAAGUUACGCUCCAUGUGCCUGCUCCCUGAAGUUCAGAAUUGUGCGUGUUUAUUAACGAUAUCGGUAUUUAUAACCUGUUAUUAUAUUCCCUAACUUUAAUCUCUCAAUUAUGUCGGAGCACAUUUUCUGUCAACUACAUUUCCGGGCUAUAAUUGCUGUAAAGCGCGGCUGUUCAGACCCAUUGCGUGCAGAGUGCAACAUGUGAAAUCAGUAAGACUGUAAACUGUACUUCAAAAUACUUCUGCGCAUCCAGUUUCUCCUUUGGACAGCGUCUAGUGCUUUCAUGUCACAUCCAAGAACGAGAUUAAAACGGCUCGAGAAAAGUGAAAUAAGCAAGAACUUGAUGAGAUGAAUAAUAAAAAGAAGAUAGUGGAAGAUAAUUGCAAAAUGCAUGGAUUUAGAAGGGGACUCGACGCAGAAAAGAUUAUUGGCGCGGCGGAUGAUAAUGGAGUACUGAUGUACUUGAUGCAAUGUGCAGGAAAGGAACGGACGUGGUCGACUUGGUAUCCUCCACGGAGGCCAAUAUAAAUUGCCCUCAAGUCGUCAUCCAAUUUUAUAAAGAUCGAAUGACCUGGGACGUAGCUAAGUCCAGUGACAAAUAAACGCGCUUCCUUAC
rnacentral:misc_RNA from 1 species